AUUGAACGCUGGCGGCAGGCCUAACACAUGCAAGUCGAGCGGAUGAAGGGAGCUUGCUCCUGGAUUCAGCGGCGGACGGGUGAGUAAUGCCUAGGAAUCUGCCUGGUAGUGGGGGAUAACGUCCGGAAACGGGCGCUAAAUACCGCAUACGUCCUGAGGGAGAAAGUGGGGGAUCUUCGGACCUCACGCUAUCAGAUGAGCCUAGGUCGGAUUAGCUAGUUGGUGGGGUAAAGGCCUACCAAGGCGACGAUCCGUAACUGGUCUGAGAGGAUGAUCAGUCACACUGGAACUGAGACACGGUCCAGACUCCUACGGGAGGCAGCAGUGGGGAAUAUUGGACAAUGGGCGAAAGCCUGAUCCAGCCAUGCCGCGUGUGUGAAGAAGGUCUUCGGAUUGUAAAGCACUUUAAGUUGGGAGGAAGGGCAGUAAGUUAAUACCUUGCUGUUUUGACGUUACCAACAGAAUAAGCACCGGCUAACUUCGUG
rnacentral:rRNA from 1 species